rnacentral:lncRNA from 1 species
CGCCCUACAAGUGCGGGGUGUGCGCCAAAGGGUUCGCGCACCCCUCCAACCUGCUGCAGCACCAGCGCGUGCACCGCCACACCUGAGCCACAGGUGAGGCCGGCCCCGGGUCUGCACACCUGGGCAGCGACACCUGGGCAGUGACACCUGAGCCCCAGGUGAAACGACUCGGUACCUGUGAGCCCAGACAGGUGUGGACCCCAAAAAUGGAUUUUGGACCCCAGAAAGGUGCGGUAGCAACACCUGGACUGCGACACCUGAGCUGCAGGUGAAAGGACUCAGUACCUGUGAGCCCAGACAGGUAAAUCUUCUAUGGAACCCAGAAAAGUGCAGCAGCAACACCUGGGCAGUGACACCUGAGCUGCAGGUGAAAGGACUCGGUACCUGUGAGCCCAGACAGGUGUGGACCCCAAAAAUGGAGUUUGGACCUCAAAAAGUUGCAGCAGCAACACCUGGACUGCGACACCUGAGCCCCAGGUGAAAGGACUCGGUACCUGUGGGCCCAGACAGGUGUGGACCCCAAAAUCUUCUAGAGAACCCAGAAAGGUGCAGCAGCAACACCUGGACUGCAACACCUGAGCUGCAGGUGAAAGGACUCGGUACCUGUGAGCCCGGACAGGUGUGUGGACCCCAAAAAUCUUCUAUG